UACGAAGGGGGCUAGCGUUGGCUCGGAAUCACUGGGCGUAAAAGCGCACGUAGGCGGAUUGUUAAGUCAGGGGUGAAAUCCUGGAGCUCAACUCCAGAACUGCCUUUGAUACUGGCGAUCUCGAGUCCGGGAGAGGUGAGUGGAACUGCGAGUGUAGAGGUAAAUUCGUAGAUAUUCGCAAGAACACCAGUGGCGAAGGCGGCUCACUGGCCCGGUACUGACGCUGAGGUGCGAAAGCCGUGGGGAGCAAACAGGG
rnacentral:rRNA from 1 species